ensembl:lncRNA
GUACCGGCCUCCUGGUGCGGCCACCAAGGUAGGACCAGGAAAGCCUGAAGACCAUUACCCUGGGAUGCAGGGAACACUCAGACUGCUAAUCCCGUCACCUUUCUAAGUGAACUCCAAGCUGAGCAGGGCAUAAUAAUUCUUAUACCCUACUGAUCAAAAGGGUUUAUUUUGUGUUCUCUCUAAUUAACCCAUAGUUUUUUUGUUUUUUGUUGUUUUUCUGGUUCCGUAUCAAGGAACAAGAUAGGUAUAUGACCAUUAAUUACUUAAGUUUUCUUUUUCCUUUUUUUCUUUGAAGUUGUUCCUGUGCUUAUUCAGUGAGCUUCCCUCUGCUGGUCCAAUAUUCUCUUCUGGAGUAAUCACCUGCGCUCCCCUUCUUAGCAAGGUGAUGAAUGAAGUCCUGGCAGCUUCCAGUGUCCCAGGCCUUGUAGAAAUAAGUGAGACAGACGUGCUUCAAAGUUCUAAUGAGCGUCACAGCGGAAGCAUUAAAAGGAGCCCCGCCGUUGCCUGUUGAGAAGGCUCUGUGCUCUCAGGCGCGGUUUCCGAUUGAAUGCAGAGGUCACACGCAUGCCUCCCUCUAUUACCUGUCGGAGCAGGUUUAAUUUUAUAAAUUCUAGACACAAACUCUAUGAGUUUCUAGUUCAUAGUUGUUCUUUUUGAGGAUCCACUCAGACGAACAGUAUUACAUCCGUAAGAGAUACGCACUCCCACUGCCCACAACUAGUUGGGGAAUCACUGGCGGACGAACUCCAUCAGUAGCAUCGCCCGGUGCCUGAUGGGAAGGACAGGAGGGCGAGGAAACCCUCCCCGGAGAGUCGUACAGCCGGCCAGAACCAUAGUGUUACUUACUACACCAGCGAUCUUUUUUUUCCUUGAACACAGUAGCUUACUACUACUGGAAAGCCAUGUACAAAAGCCUGGCCGUGGCUUCAGUCCAUUGUUAUUACUUACUUUCGUGAGCACUCAAAAACUCUGAAAGUUGUUCAGAGUUUCAUUUUUUUUAAAAAUCCUUUUUAAUGCAUCUUUGAGAAAAAUCCAGGGUUCAGCACACCACCCUGAACCUUUUGCUCCGGCCUUCUUGUCCUGUCAUGCACGCAGCAGGCGUGCUGGCCGAGAUGAGAAACCUUGUGGGACAGGAAGGGAAACUGAUAAUCAGGCCUACUGCAUGGUAGUUUACCGCACUUCAUGAAUUGAGGCAGAGAUGGUGACAGUCUGCUGCACCAGACCUGAUUUCUGCCUUUGACGACCACCAGUGUUCACACGAUACCUGGGGGGGGGACUUAAAAAUUCAAAUGUGAGCACCGUUUAUACCCAAAAGAGAUUAUUUUUAAUUAUUCUUUUGCUUGUUUUGUCAAAAAAAUUAAAGUGCUUGGAAUUCUUUAUCUGUGGUCCCUUGGAAUGUAAUCAAUGAGAACUCUAACCUCCAACAGUAUGAUCUCACUUUGGACAUUCAUAAUAAAAGCUGAAACUCGU